CCUACGGGGCGCAGCAGUGGGGAAUAUUGCGCAAUGGGCGAAAGCCUGACGCAGCGACGCCGCGUGAGGGAUGAAGGUCUUCGGAUCGUAAACCUCUGUCCGCAGGGAAGAACGUUCACUGUGCUAAUCAGCAGUGAAUUGACGGUACCUGCAAAGGAAGCACCGGCUAACUCCGUGCCAGCAGCCGCGGUAAUACGGAGGGUGCGAGCGUUCCUCGGCAUUACUGGGCGUAAAGCGCUCUUCUGCGGUAUGUCACUUCAAGGGUGAAAUCCCCGCGCUCACCGUGGGAACUGCCUUUGACCCUG
rnacentral:rRNA from 1 species